AGGAUAUUAGUUAAAAUAUAACAAUUAAAUUGCAUUUAAAAAUUAAUUUCUAAAAAUUAUAUCU
rnacentral:tRNA from 1 species